GACGAACGCUGGCGGCGUGCUUAACACAUGCAAGUCGAACGGAAAGGCCCUGCUUGUGUGGGGUGCUCGAGGGGCGAACGGGUGAGUAACACGUGAGUAACCUGCCCUUGACUGUGGGAUAACUGGAGGAAACGGGGGCUAAUACCGGAUAGGAGCUCCUGCGGCAUGGUGGGGGUUGGAAAGUUUCGGCGGUGGGGGAUGGACUCGCGGCUUAUCAGCUUGUUGGUGGGGUAGUGGCUUACCAAGGCUUUGACGGGUAGCCGGCCUGAGAGGGUGACCGGCCACAUUGGGACUGAGAUACGGCCCAGACUCCUACGGGAGGCAGCAGUGGGGAAUAUUGCACAAUGGGCGGAAGCCUGAUGCAGCAACGCCGCGUGCGGGAUGACGGCCUUCGGGUUGUAAACCGCUUUCGCCUGUGACGAAGCGUGAGUGACGGUAAUGGGUAAAGAAGCACCGGCUAACUACGUG
rnacentral:rRNA from 1 species